rnacentral:tRNA from 1 species
UCCCUGAUGUCUCUGAUGGUAAAGAAUUCACCUGCAAUGCAGAAGACCCAGGUUCAAUUCCUGGUUUGAGAA